rnacentral:rRNA from 1 species
CAGCCGUAAACUAUGCGCGUUAGGUGUAUCGGUGACCACGAGUUACCGAGGUGCCGAAGGGAAACCGUGAAACGUGCCGCCUGGGAAGUACGGUCGCAAGGCUGAAACUUAAAGGAAUUGGCGGGGGAGCACCACAACAGGUGGAGCCUGCGGGUUUAAUUGGACUCAACGCCGGGAAGCUCACCGGAUAGGACAGACAUAUGAUAGUCGGGCUUGAAGACUCUACUUGAUGAUCUGAGAGGAGGUGCAUGGCGUCAGUGACU